UACAGAGGGUGCAAGCGUUGUUCGGAAUUAUUGGGCGUAAAGGGCGCGUAGGCGGUGCGGUAAGUCUUUUGUGAAAUCUCCGGGCUCAACUCGGAGUCUGCAGGAGAAACUGCCGUGCUGGAGUAUGGGAGAGGUGAGUGGAAUUCCCGGUGUAGCGGUGAAAUGCGUAGAUAUCGUAAGGAAGACCAGUGGCGAAGGCGGGUCUCUGGACAGUUCCUGACGCUGAGGCACGAAGGCUAGGGGAGCAAACGGG
rnacentral:rRNA from 1 species